rnacentral:rRNA from 1 species
UCUUUUUGAUUUUAUUUAAAGUCUAGCCUGCCCGUUGAAGAGUUAAAUGGCCGCGAUAUUUUGAUCGUGCUAAGGUAGCAUAAUCAUUAGUUUUUUAAUUGAAAGCUGGAAUGAAGGGUUGGAUGAAAAAUUAGCUGUCUCUUAUUAAAAUUUAGAAUUUUAUUUUUAAGUUAAAAAGCUUAAAUUUAUUUAAAAGACGAGAAGACCCUAUAGAGUUUUAUAUUAUUAAAAAUUUAUAUUUUUAGAAUUUAUUUAUAAAUUAUUAAUGAAUAUUUAAUUGGGGUGAUUAAAAAAUUUAUUGAACUUUAAUUUUAUUUAAAUAUUAAUUAAUAAUUAGAUGAUCCAGAUAGUUUGAUUAUAAGAAAAAAUUACCUUAGGGAUAACAGCGUUAUUUUACUAGAGAGUUC